ACGGCUGCACAUGAACCUGACAUCUGUCCACGAUCUGUCUGGGAUGUGAGCUCCAGGAAUCCCAGUCUGUUUGCUGCAGCGCGGGAUCUCCUGGGCCUGGAUAGGGUUUCUUAGCCUCAGCCCUAUUGACAGUUUGGACCAGAUAACUCCCCGUGGAGGGGGCUGCCCUGUGCCUUGUGAGAUGUCAGGCAGCACCCCUGGCCUCUACCCACUAUAUGCCAGCAGCACGGCCCCCCUUCCAAGUCGUGAUAGUUAAGAACUUCUCCAGAUUUUGCUGACUGUUCCCUGAGGGAGGGGCAAGGUCACCUUGGGUUGAGAACCACUGGCCAAGAAACAUUUAGCAUAGAGUAAACAUGCAUAUAUAUGGAGAGGAUGAAUUAACAGUGUUUAUUCGGAGUUCCUGUCCUGGCUCAGGGGUUAACAAACCCUACCAGUAUCCAUGAGGACGAGGGUUCGAUCCCUGGCCUCGGUCAGUGGGUUAAGGAUCUGGCAUUGCCAUGAUCUGUGUUGUAGAUUGCAGACACGGGUGGGUGUGAUCCAUGUUGCUGCAGCUGUGGCUAGGGGUUGAAUCAGAGCUGUAGCUGCAGGCCUACGCCACAGCCACAGCCAGAGGAAUGAGGGAUCCAAGCCAUGUCUGCAACGUAUACCACAGCUCAUGGUAACACUGGAUCCUUAACCCACUGAGCGAGGCCAGGGAUCAAACCCACAUCCUCAUGGAUACUAGUCAGGCUUGUAACCUGCUGAACCACAACAGGGAACUAUUAUUGUGGAUUUGUAAUAGUGACCACAACUGUCUUUUAUUGAGUGAGUGCUGUAUCCAGCUGCGUGUGUGGUUUUAUUCAGUCCUACAGCAGCUGAAUGUGGAGAUCCUAUCAGUGGCCCCAGUUUACAGGGAAGGGGCUUAGAGGCGUAAGGGGCAGGUCCUUCUUUGGAGCCCAGCCCUGCCUGACUCCAGAGCCCAACAGCCCAACCACUGCCCUGUUCUCUGCUCUUCAAUGGAGAAAAAGAGUCAGUGACUCUGGCCAGGGCUCUUAGGCACAGAGGCGUGCUGCCCAGGACCCUCCAGGACUGAAGGCCACUCCUCGCCAUGGGGAGGGCUGCUGGGACAGCCCUGGGCUCACAGCCGUCUUUGGAAAUUGCCUCUGCUCAAAAAGUAUCCAGGCUGAAGUCAUGUCCCCUCCCUAGGCAGCCCUUGCAACUACUAUAUAUAAAGAUAAAUAAGGACCUGCUGUGGAGCACAGGGAACUAUAUUCAAUGUCUUAUAAUAACCUAUCAUGGGAGUUCCCGUUGUGGCGCAGUGGUUAACGAAUCCGACUAGGAACCAUGAGGUUGUGGGUUCGGUCCCUGCCCUUGCUCAGUGGGUUAAGGAUCCGGCGUUGCCCUGAGCUGUGGUGUAGGUUGCAGACGUGGCUCGGAUCCCGAGUUGCUGUGCCUCUGGUGUAGGCUGGUGGCUACAGCUCCGAUUGGACCCCUAGCCUGGGAAUCUCCACAUGCCACGGGAGUGCCCCAAGAAAUAGCAAAAAAAAAAAAAAGACAAAAAAAAAA
rnacentral:lncRNA from 1 species